UUAAUACUCCCUCCGUCCGAAAAUACUUGUCCUCGAAAUGGUUGUAUCUAGACUUAUUUUAGUUAUAGAUACAUUCAUUUUAUUCAUUUUGAGGAUAAGUAUUUCCGGACGGAGGGAGUAUAUA
rnacentral:pre_miRNA from 1 species